CCCUUAGAUGUUCGGGGCCGCACGCGCGCUACACUGAAUGAAUCAGCGAGUGUAUGUCCUAGGCCGAAAGGUCCGGGUAACCCGUUGAACCUCAUUCGUGAUUGGGAUAGGGACUUGCAAUUGUUUCCCUUGAACGAGGAAUUCCCAGUAAGCGCAAGUCAUCAGCUUGCGUUGAUUACGUCCCUGCCCUUUGUACACACCGCCCGUCGCUACUACCGAUUGAGUGAUCCGGUGAAUAAUUCGGACUGCAGCAGUGUUCAGUUCCUGAACGUUGCAGCGGAAAGUUUAGUGAACCUUAUCACUUAGAGGAGGAGAAGUCGUAACA
rnacentral:rRNA from 1 species